rnacentral:rRNA from 1 species
GACGAACCGAGCGAACGUUGUUCGGAAUCACUGGGCUUAAAGGGCGCGUAGGCGGGCUGUCAAGUCUGGGGUGAAAUCCCACGGCUCAACCGUGGAACUGCUGGGUAUACUGGUUCUCUUGAGCGACCCAGGGGCGAGCGGAACAAACGGUGGAGCGGUGAAAUGCGUAGAUAUCGUUUGGAACGCCAAAGGUGAAAACAGCUCGCUGGGGGUCUGCUGACGCUGAGACACGAAAGCCAGGGGAGCGAACGGG